AAUGAAUUCUCUCCUCUCUUUCAACCUCACUUGGACCAUACCAUUGUUGCCCUCCAAGACUUUCCUCUAGCUACUGAACAGGAGGUGGCUGCACUUCUCCUCUCUUCCCACCACCUGUCGGCUUGAUCCAGUACCUUCCCACCUCAUGAGAACUCUCACCCCUUGUCUUGUACCAUCCUUAACACACAUCCUAAACUGCUCUCUUUCAUCUGUUGUGUUGUCCCUGCUCCCCUUAAGCAUGCAACUGUCGUAUCCAGCCUUAAAAAGCCAUGCAUAG